GAAGUCGUAACAAGGUUUCCGUAGGUGAACCUGCGGAAGGAUCAUUG
rnacentral:ncRNA from 45 species